rnacentral:rRNA from 1 species
UUAACUGAAUCCAUAGGUUAAUGAGGCGAACCGGGGGAACUGAAACAUCUAAGUACCCCGAGGAAAAGAAAUCAACCGAGAUUCCCCCAGUAGCGGCGAGCGAACGGGGAGGAGCCCAGAGCCUGAAUCAGUGUGUGUGUUAGUGGAAGCGUCUGGAAAGGCGCGCGAUACAGGGUGACAGCCCCGUACACAAAAAUGCACAUGCUGUGAGCUCGAUGAGUAGGGCGGGACACGUGGUAUCCUGUCUGAAUAUGGGGGGACCAUCCUCCAAGGCUAAAUACUCCUGACUGACCGAUAGUGAACCAGUACCGUGAGGGAAAGGCGAAAAGAACCCCGGCGAGGGGAGUGAAAAAGAACCUGAAACCGUGUACGUACAAGCAGUGGGAGCACGCUUAGGCGUGUGACUGCGUACCUUUUGUAUAAUGGGUCAGCGACUUAUAUUCUGUAGCAAGGUUAACCGAAUAGGGGAGCCGAAGGGAAACCGAGUCUUAACUGGGCGUUAAGUUGCAGGGUAUAGACCCGAAACCCGGUGAUCUAGCCAUGGGCAGGUUGAAGGUUGGGUAACACUAACUGGAGGACCGAACCGACUAAUGUUGAAAAAUUAGCGGAUGACUUGUGGCUGGGGGUGAAAGGCCAAUCAAACCGGGAGAUAGCUGGUUCUCCCCGAAAGCUAUUUAGGUAGCGCCUCGUGAAUUCAUCUCCGGGGGUAGAGCACUGUUUCGGCAAGGGGGUCAUCCCGACUUACCAACCCGAUGCAAACUGCGAAUACCGGAGAAUGUUAUCACGGGAGACACACGGCGGGUGCUAACGUCCGUCGUGAAGAGGGAAACAACCCAGACCGCCAGCUAAGGUCCCAAAGUCAUGGUUAAGUGGGAAACGAUGUGGGAAGGCCCAGACAGCCAGGAUGUUGGCUUAGAAGCAGCCAUCAUUUAAAGAAAGCGUAAUAGCUCACUGGUCGAGUCGGCCUGCGCGGAAGAUGUAACGGGGCUAAACCAUG